rnacentral:rRNA from 1 species
AUUGAACGCUGCCGGCAUGCCAUACACAUGCAAGUCGAACGGCAGCACGGGAGCAAUCCUGGUGGCGAGUGGCGAACGGGUGAGUACAGUAUCGGAACGUGCACAGCCGUGGGGGAUAACGUAGUGAAAGUUACGCUAAUACCGCAUACGAUCUAUGGCUGAAGGCGGGGGAUGGCAAGACCUCGCGCGAUUGGAGCGGCCGGUAUCAGAUUAGGUAGUUGGUGGGGUAAAGGCUCACCAAGCGGACGAUCUGUAGCUGGUCUGAGAGGACGACCAGCCACGCGGGGACUGGGAGACGGCCAAGACUCCGACGGGAGGAAGCAGUGGGGAAUUUUGGACAAUGGGCGAAAGCCUGAUCCAGCCAUGCCGCGUGCAGGAUGAAGGCCUUCGGGUUGUAAACUGCUUUUGUACGGAGCGAAAAGGUUUGGCCUAAUAAGCUGAGCUCAUGACGGUACCGUAAGAAUAAGCACCGGCUAACUACGUGCCAGCAGCCGCAGUAA